CUGUUGUUCUCUGUCCGCCAUGCACUUCUUCGAUCUUCCCACAAAUGUGGCCACUACUGCUUAGCAACCAGGGGAACAUGACAGCAGACAGCAAAAUCCUCUCCCCAUAGCUCACCCUGUUCCAUCUCCACAUCAUAAAGUAUCUUUCAUAGCCAAUUAAGAGGAAUGCAUGUUGUGUGGCCACAGAGAGACUGAGUGGGACCUCAGGGGUGGCAUGGGCUGAGCUGGGGUCUCUGCUAGGUGCAUGCAUGGAGAGCAAAUUCAACAAACUGAUGACUGAAAGACCCCGAUAUAUGUGGGUAUAACAGCUCCCCAAAGGCUUAUGGCAACUAAUAUUUGAAAAGAACAGGGAAAAGGAGGAGAAAAAAGGGAGAGAAGUGAAGGAAGAGAAAGAAAGAAGAAAAGAAAGAGCUGAAUAUCAAGGCGAUGGGGAACAGAAGAGCUUUAUGCCGCGGCAUAAAGCCCUCAGCACUCCAGCCGCCCAAACCGCCAAGACCGGAGGGGAGGGCCAAGAGCUCGCGAGCAGCACCAAGAGAGCAAAGUCCAGACGAAACCCCGCUAAGCAGCCGGGAAAGCAGCUACUCACUCACUUCUCCCAUGCCACAGGUCAUCUCAGAGACUGCAGCAAGCCUUGCGCAAAGUCAGCUGCUCUACAGAGCCAAAGAAGUCCCUGCUACAGAACCUUCCUCAUCCCCUGAGCAACGGGAUUGAAACAUUGUCCUCGAGAGCUAAGGGUGAGAAGCACAGUCGAAAACUGAGCAGACAGAAGAAAGCAGUCAAGUUCAGUCCUUGAUGCAGAGGAAAAGAGAUUCAUUUCUACAUGGCACUCAAUAGCAUCAUCUCCUUCUGACCAUGCUCUUGCACAUCCAGCAGCAAUAAAGGACAGACACUGGCUUCUUGCAGAACAGACUGCAUUUGUAGGAUUGAAAAAAAGAAGUAAAAUGGAAGACCAGAGCUGUUGCAGGCAUCUUGGAAUCCUAAAAACUGAAUGCUUAAAUCUUUUGAAUAACAGCUGUUUUUACCAAGUCAGUGUUUGCCAAUUCUGAAGCUACAAACUGGUCUCUUGACUAAAGUAUUCUCAUUCUUGCCUCUAGUCUUG
ensembl:lncRNA